rnacentral:rRNA from 1 species
GAGUUUGAUCAUGGCUCAGGAUGAACGCUGGCGGCGUGCCUAACACAUGCAAGUCGAGCGCGGUUGUGCUUAGUAUUGAGUGUUUUAUUGAUAUAAAACAUUGAAUUCUAUGCACAACUGAGCGGCGGACGGGUGAGUAACGCGUGGGUAACCUGCCCUAUACACAUGGAUAACAUACUGAAAAGUUUACUAAUACAUGAUAAAAUAGUUUUUCGGCAUCGAAGAAUUAUCAAAGUGUUAGCGGUAUAGGAUGGACCCGCGUCUGAUUAGCUAGUUGGUGAGAUAACUGCCCACCAAGGCGACGAUCAGUAGCCGACCUGAGAGGGUGAUCGGCCACAUUGGAACUGAGACACGGUCCAAACUCCUACGGGAGGCAGCAGUGGGGAAUAUUGCACAAUGGGCGCAAGCCUGAUGCAGCAACGCCGCGUGAACGAUGAAGGUCUUCGGAUCGUAAAGUUCUGUUGCAGGGGAAGAUGAUGACGGA